UACGAAGGGGGCUAGCGUUGCUCGGAAUCACUGGGCGUAAAGGGUACGUAGGCGGGUCUUUAAGUCAGGGGUGAAAUCCUGGAGCUCAACUCCAGAACUGCCUUUGAUACUGAAGAUCUUGAGUUCGGGAGAGGUGAGUGGAACUGCGAGUGUAGAGGUGAAAUUCGUAGAUAUUCGCAAGAACACCAGUGGCGAAGGCGGCCACCUGGUCCGGUACUGACGCUGAGGCGCGAAAGCGUGGGGAGCAAACAGGGA
rnacentral:rRNA from 1 species